GGAGGUGCAGCUUUGGCUCAGCUCUUAACAGUGCAACAUCUAGUGCCUCUAUAGUUCUCUUGGACACAGAUGGCUGCUUUCGAAGAAGAAAUAAGUGGAAAGUGAUGGAGUUUCUAUGCUCCAGCUCUCUUUGCCUGCUGCCAUCCACGUAAGAUGUGACUUGCUCCUCUUUGCCUUCUGCCAUAAUUGUGAGCCCCCCUCAGCCAUGUGGAAUGAUGGAAAACAGAACAAGCCAUGGAGGCCCCAGGGAUCAGGCAGGGCCAAGAGUAUCUGAUGGCGGAAGGGGGAGCACAUCAACAAGACCUUACAAGGCAACUUGCAUGGAUGCUCUGAAGCAACUUUGAGGUCUCCUUGAUGAGGAAAGUUGGCUCAACCUGC